UACGUAGGGUGCGAGCGUUGUCCGGAAUUACUGGGCGUAAAGAGCUCGUAGGUGGUUUGUCGCGUUGUUCGUGAAAACUCACAGCUCAACUGUGGGCGUGCGGGCGAUACGGGCAGACUGGAGUACUGCAGGGGAGACUGGAAUUCCUGGUGUAGCGGUGGAAUGCGCAGAUAUCAGGAGGAACACCGGUGGCGAAGGCGGUGGUCUGGGCCGGCACUGACGCUGAGGAGCGAAAGCGUGGGGAGCGAACAGG
rnacentral:rRNA from 1 species